UACGUAGGGGGCAAGCGUUGUCCGGAAUCAUUGGGCGUAAAGAGCGUGUAGGCGGUCCGGUAAGUCGGUUGUGAAAGUCCAGGGCUCAACCCUGGGAUGCCGGUGGAUACUGUCGGGCUCGAGUCCGGAAGAGGAGUGUGGAAUUCCUGGUGUAGCGGUGAAAUGCGCAGAUAUCAGGAGGAACACCAAUGGCGAAGGCAGCACUCUGGGACGUGACUGACGCUGAGACGCGAAAGCGUGGGGAGCAAACAGG
rnacentral:rRNA from 1 species